rnacentral:rRNA from 1 species
UACGAAGGGGGCUAGCGUUGCUCGGAAUUACUGGGCGUAAAGGGCGCGUAGGCGGCACGAUUAGUCAGGCGUGAAAUUCCUGGGCUCAACCUGGGGACUGCGCUUGAUACGGUCGAGCUAGAGGAUGGAAGAGGGUCGCGGAAUUCCCAGUGUAGAGGUGAAAUUCGUAGAUAUUGGGAAGAACACCGGUGGCGAAGGCGGCGACCCGGUCCAUUACUGACGCUGAGGCGCGACAGCGUGGGGAGCAAACAGG